rnacentral:rRNA from 1 species
UAGGGAAUCUUCGGCAAUGGACGAAAGUCUGACCGAGCAACGCCGCGUGAGUGAAGAAGGUUUUCGGAUCGUAAAACUCUGUUGUUAGAGAAGAACAAGGACGUUAGUAACUGAACGUCCCCUGACGGUAUCUAACCAGAAAGCCACGGCUAACUACGUGCCAGCAGCCGCGGUAAUACGUAGGUGGCAAGCGUUGUCCGGAUUUAUUGGGCGUAAAGCGAGCGCAGGCGGUUUCUUAAGUCUGAUGUGAAAGCCCCCGGCUCAACCGGGGAGGGUGAUUGGAAACUGGGAGACUGGAGUGCAGAAGAGGAGAGUGGAAUUCCAUGUGUAGCGGUGAAAUGCGUAGAUAUAUGGAGGAACACCAGUGGCGAAGGCGGCUCUCUGGUCUGUAACUGACGCUGAGGCUCGAAAGCGUGGGGAGCAAACAGG